AUUGAACGCUGGCGGCGUGCUUAACACAUGCAAGUCGAGCGGUAACAGGCGUAGCAAUACGUGCUGACGAGCGGCGAACGGGUGAGUAAUGCUUCGGAAUCUUCCUCGUAGUGGGGAAUAACCUGGGGAAACUCAGGCUAAUACCGCAUACGAACUACGGUUGAAAGCAGGGGAUCGCAAGACCUUACGCUAUGAGAUGAGCCGAAGUCGGAUUAGCUAGUUGGUGGGGUAAUGGCCUACCAAGGCAACGAUCCGUAGCUGGUCUGAGAGGACGACCAGCCACACUGGGACUGAGACACGGCCCAGACUCCUACGGGAGGCAGCAGUGGGGAAUAUUGGACAAUGGGGGCAACCCUGAUCCAGCGACGCCGCGUGUGUGAAGAAGGCCUGCGGGUUGUAAAGCACUUUUAGUGGGGAUGAAAAGCCGAAGGCUAAUACCUUUCGGUCUUGACCUAACCCAAAGAAAAAGCACCGGCUAACUCUGUGCCAGCAGCCGCGGUAA
rnacentral:rRNA from 1 species